rnacentral:rRNA from 1 species
CCGCGUGUGUGAAGAAGGCCUUCGGGUUGUAAAGCACUUUCAGUAAGGAGGAAAGGUUAAGUGUUAAUAGCACUUAGCUGUGACGUUACUUACAGAAGAAGCACCGGCUAACUCCGUGCCAGCAGCCGCGGUAAUACGGAGGGUGCGAGCGUUAAUCGGAAUUACUGGGCGUAAAGCGUACGCAGGCGGUUUGUUAAGCGAGAUGUGAAAGCCCCGGGCUCAACCUGGGAACUGCAUUUCGAACUGGCAAACUAGAGUGUGAUAGAGGGUGGUAGAAUUUCAGGUGUAGCGGUGAAAUGCGUAGAGAUCUGAAGGAAUACCGAUGGCGAAGGCAGCCACCUGGGUCAACACUGACGCUCAUGUACGAAAGCGUGGGGAGCAAACAGGAUUAGAUACCCUGGUAGUCCACGCCGUAAACGAUGUCUACUAGAAGCUCGGGUCUUCGGACUUGUUUUUCAAAGCUAACGCAUUAAGU